UGGGGAAUAUUGGACAAUGGGGGGAACCCUGAUCCAGCGAUGCCGCGUGGGUGAAGAAGGCCUUCGGGUUGUAAAGCCCUUUAGGUUGGGAAGAAGUGUAUGUGGUGAUAAGCCAUGUACAUUGACGGUACCGACAGAAUAAGCACCGGCAAACUCUGUGCCAGCAGCCGCGGUAAUACAGAGGGUGCUAGCGUUAAUCGGAAUUACUGGGCGUAAAGGGCGCGUAGGCGGUGAGAUGUGAGUGAUGUGAAAGCCCUGGGCUUAACCUAGGAAGAGCAUCGCUAACUAUCUGACUGGAGUAAAUGAGAGGGUGGCGGAAUUUCCGGUGUAGCGGUGAAAUGCGUAGAGAUCGGAAGGAACGUCGAUGGCGAAGGCAGCCACCUGGCAUAAUACUGACGCUGAGGCGCGAAAGCGUGGGGAGCGAACAG
rnacentral:rRNA from 1 species